rnacentral:rRNA from 1 species
UACGUAGGGACCAAGCGUUGUUCGGAUUUACUGGGCGUAAAGGGCGCGUAGGCGGCCUAGCAAGUCACUUGUGAAAUCUCCGGGCUUAACUCGGAACUGCCAAGUGAAACUGCUGGGCUAGAGUGCAGAAGGGGCAAUCGGAAUUCUUGGUGUAGCGGUGAAAUGCGUAGAUAUCAAGAGGAACACCUGAGGUGAAGACGGGUUGCUGGGCUGACACUGACGCUGAUGCGCGAAAGCCAGGGGAGCAAACGGG